AAGGAGGCUGUGGAAGCUGUUGGGGUGAAAGUAGAUUUUGAGAAGGCUUUCGAUAAAGUCAAGUGGCCUUUUCUUAAAAAGGUUUCAGAGUUGCUAGGUUUUAAUGAUAUAUAAAUGGUGUGGAUGGGUUACUGAAUGUGUCUAUAAGUCUAAGUUGGUCAUCCUGGUUAACGGCAUAGCAUCUAAUUAGAUCAAAUCUA
rnacentral:lncRNA from 1 species